rnacentral:rRNA from 1 species
GACGUAGGAUGCGAGCGUUAUUCGGAUUUAUUGGGCGUAAAGCGUGCGUAGGCGGCUGUUUAAGUCUGGUGUUAAAGCUAGGGGCUCAACCCCUGUGGUGCACUGGAAACUGGGCAGCUUGAGUGCGGUAGGGGAAGGUGGAAUUCCGAGUGUAGCGGUGAAAUGCGUAGAUAUCAUUUGGAACGCCAAUGGUGAAAACAGGUAGCUGGGGGUGUGCUGACGCUGAGACACGAAAGCCAGGGGAGCAAACGGG